rnacentral:rRNA from 1 species
GUCGACGGUAGCACAGAGAGCUUGCUCUCGGGUGACGAGUGGCGGACGGGCCAUAAUGUCCGGGAAACUGCCUGAUGGAGGGGGAUAACUACUGCAAUCGGUAGCUAAUACCGCAUAACGUCGCAAGACCAAGGAGGGGGACCUUCGGGCCUCUUGCCAUCAGAUGUGCCCAGAUGGGAUUAGCUAGUAGGUGGGGUAACGGCUCACCCACUAGGCGACGAUCCCUAGCUGGUCUGAGAGGAUGACCAGCCACACUGGAACUGAGACACGGUCCAGACUCCUACGGGAGGCAGCAGUGGGGAAUAUUGCACAAUGGGCGCAAGCCUGAUGCAGCCAUGCCGCGUGUAUGAAGAAGGCCUUCGGGUUGUAAAGUACUUUCAGCGAGGAGGAAGGCAUUGUGGUUAAUAACCGCAGUGAUUGACGUUACUCGCAGAAGAAGCACCGGCUAACUCCGUGCCAGCAGCCCGCGGUAAUACGGAGGGUGCAAGCGUUAAUCGGAAUUACUGGGCGUAAAGCGCACGCAGGCGGUCUGUCAAGUCGGAUGUGAAAUCCCCGGGCUCAACCUGGGAACUGCAUUCGAAACUGGCAGGCUAGAGUCUUGUAGAGGGGGGUAGAAUUCCAGGUGUAGCGGUGAAAUGCGUAGAGAUCUGGAGGAAUACCGGUGGCGAAAGCGGCCCCCUGGACAAAGACUGACGCUCAGGUGCGAAAGCGUGGGGAGCAAACAGGAUUAGAUACCCUGGUAGUCCACGCCGUAAACGAUGUCGACUUGGAGGUUGUGCCCUUGAGGCGUGGCUUCCGGAACUAACGCGUUAAAUCCACCGCCUGGGGAGUACGGGCCCCAGGUUAAAA